UACAGAGGGUGCGAGCGUUGUCCGGAAUCACUGGGCGUAAAGGGCGCGUAGGCGGCCUGAUAAGUAGGGGGUGAAAUCCUGCGGCUUAACUGCAGGGCUGCCUCCUAGACUGUCGGGCUCGAGCACGGUAGAGGCAGAUGGAAUUCCCGGUGUAGCGGUGGAAUGCGUAGAGAUCGGGAAGAACAUCGGUGGCGAAGGCGGUCUGCUGGGCCGUUGCUGACGCUGAGGCGCGACAGCGUGGGGAG
rnacentral:rRNA from 1 species